rnacentral:rRNA from 1 species
GACGAACGCUGGCGGCGUGCUUAACACAUGCAAGUCGAACGGAAAGGCCCCUUUGGGGGUACUCGAGUGGCGAACGGGUGAGUAACACGUGCGUAACCUGCCCUUGACUUCGGGAUAACUUUAGGAAACUGGGGCUAAUACUGGAUAGGAAUCCUUGCUGCAUGGUGGGGGUUGGAAAGCUUCGGCGGCUUUGGAUGGACUUGCGGGCUAUCAGCUUGUUGGUGGGGUAGUGGGUUACCAAGGCUUUGACGGGUAGCCGGACUGAGAGGGCGACCGGCCACAGUGGGACUGAGAUACGGCCCAGACUCCUACGGGAGGGAGAAGUGGGGAAUAUUGCACAAGGAGCGGAAGCCUGAUGCUGAAACGCCGCGUGCGGGAUGACGGUCUUCGGGUUGUAGACCGAAUGCAGCAGGAGCGAAGCUUGUGGUGACGGUACCUGCAGAAGAAGCACCGGCUAACUACGUG